UACGUAGGGGGCAAGCGUUGUCCGGAUUUAUUGGGCGUAAAGCGCGUGUAGGCGGCCAGAUAGGUCUGCUGUGAAAACUCGAGGCUCAACCUCGAGCUGUCGGCGGAAACCAUCUGGCUAGAGUCCGGAAGAGGAGAGUGGAAUUCCUGGUGUAGCGGUAAAAUGCGCAGAUAUCAGGAAGAACACCUAUGGCGAAGGCAGCUCUCUGGGACGGUACUGACGCUGAGACGCGAAAGCGUGGGGAGCGAACAGG
rnacentral:rRNA from 1 species